rnacentral:rRNA from 1 species
CCUGGCUCAGGAUGAACGCUAGCUACAGGCUUAACACAUGCAAGUCGAGGGGCAGCAUGGUCUUAGCUUGCUAAGGCCGAUGGCGACCGGCGCACGGGUGAGUAACACGUAUCCAACCUGCCGUCUACUCUUGGACAGCCUUCUGAAAGGAAGAUUAAUACAAGAUGGCAUCAUGAGUCCGCAUGUUCACAUGAUUAAAGGUAUUCCGGUAGACGAUGGGGAUGCGUUCCAUUAGAUAGUAGGCGGGGUAACGGCCCACCUAGUCUUCGAUGGAUAGGGGUUCUGAGAGGAAGGUCCCCCACAUUGGAACUGAGACACGGUCCAAACUCCUACGGGAGGCAGCAGUGAGGAAUAUUGGUCAAUGGGCGAGAGCCUGAACCAGCCAAGUAGCGUGAAGGAUGACUGCCCUAUGGGUUGUAAACUUCUUUUAUAAAGGAAUAAAGUCGGGUAUGCAUACCCGUUUGCAUGUACUUUAUGAAUAAGGAUCGGCUAACUCCGUGCCAGCAGCCGCGGUAAUACGGAGGAUCCGAGCGUUAUCCGGAUUUAUUGGGUUUAAAGGGAGCGUAGAUGGAUGUUUAAGUCAGUUGUGAAAGUUUGCGGCUCAACCGUAAAAUUGCAGUUGAUACUGGAUAUCUUGAGUGCAGUUGAGGCAGGCGGAAUUCGUGGUGUAGCGGUGAAAUGCUUAGAUAUCACGAAGAACUCCGAUUGCGAAGGCAGCCUGCUAAGCUGCAACUGACAUUGAGGCUCGAAAGUGUGGGUAUCAAACAGGAUUAGAUACCCUGGUAGUCCACACGGUAAACGAUGAAUACUCGCUGUUUGCGAUAUACAGCAAGCGGCCAAGCGAAAGCGUUAAGUAUUCCACCUGGGGAGUACGCCGGCAACGGUGAAACUCAAAGGAAUUGACGGGGGCCCGCACAAGCGGAGGAACAUGUGGUUUAAUUCGAUGAUACGCGAGGAACCUUACCCGGGCUUAAAUUGCAGAUGAAUUACGGUGAAAGCCGUAAGCCGCAAGGCAUCUGUGAAGGUGCUGCAUGGUUGUCGUCAGCUCGUGCCGUGAGGUGUCGGCUUAAGUGCCAUAACGAGCGCAACCCUUGUUGUCAGUUACUAACAGGUUCCGCUGAGGACUCUGACAAGACUGCCAUCGUAAGAUGUGAGGAAGGUGGGGAUGACGUCAAAUCAGCACGGCCCUUACGUCCGGGGCUACACACGUGUUACAAUGGGGGGUACAGAGGGCCGCUACCACGCGAGUGGAUGCCAAUCCCAAAAACCUCUCUCAGUUCGGACUGGAGUCUGCAACCCGACUCCACGAAGCUGGAUUCGCUAGUAAUCGCGCAUCAGCCACGGCGCGGUGAAUACGUUCCCGGGCCUUGUACACACCGCC